AGUGAACGCUGGCGGUAGGCCUAACACAUGCAAGUCGAACGGCAGCACAGUAAGAGCUUGCUCUUACGGGUGGCGAGUGGCGGACGGGUGAGGAAUACAUCGGAAUCUACUUUUUCGUGGGGGAUAACGUAGGGAAACUUACGCUAAUACCGCAUACGACCUACGGGUGAAAGCAGGGGAUCUUCGGACCUUGCGCGAUUGAAUGAGCCGAUGUCGGAUUAGCUAGUUGGCGGGGUAAAGGCCCACCAAGGCGACGAUCCGUAGCUGGUCUGAGAGGAUGGUCAGCCACACGGGAUGUGAGACACGGUCGGGACUGCGACGGGGGGCAGCAGUGGGGAAUAUGGAACAGUGGGGGAAAGCGUGAUCCGGCCAUACGGCGGGGGUAAAGAAGGCGUUCGGGUUGUAAAGCCCUUUUGUUGGGAAAGAAAAGCAGCAGGUUAAGACCCCGCUGUUCUGACGGUACCCAAAGAAUAAGCACCGGCUAACUUC
rnacentral:rRNA from 1 species